rnacentral:rRNA from 1 species
UGAAAAUGGAUGGCGCUUAAGCGGAUCACUUAUACUCGACCAACAUGACAAAUGCGAAGUCAUGUUGAGUAGGGGGCGUGGAGCUUGUGGUGAAGUCGUCUGGCGCAAGCCAGGAUGAAACAGGCUCUAGUGCAGAUCUUGGUAGUAGUAGCAAAUAUUCAAAUGAGAACUUUGAAGACUGAAGUGGAGAAAGGUUCCAUGUGAACAGUAAAUUGGACAUGGGUGAGUCGAUCCUAAGAGAUAAGAAAAUUCUGUUUGAAAGUUUCCCUUUUUCGGAAGGGACAGGUAUCGAAAGGGAAUCGGGUUAAUAUUCCCGAACCAAGACGUGGAUAUCGAGUGGUAACACAAACAAAAUCGGGGAAGUUUGGCGAAAGCCCUAGAAAGAGUUCUCUUUUCUUUUUAACAGUUUCUUUGGACCUUGGAAUCGGAUUGGCCGGCGAUAAGGUUCAAGGACUGGGAAAGCGG